UUGUUAAUUCGCCGUACAUAUCUCUUGAUUUGUGCUCAAGAGUGGAGCAAGACCCCAAGGAAGAGAGAUUGACGCAUCGGGAGCGAAGAACAGAAACGAUGGAUGGUUACGCUGCUUGGGUCUCGGCACGUUCGAAUUGGCAAAGUUCCGAAUUUGUCGCUGUGUUGUGUACGCUUGUGCGCUCGUCAUUUGCCGUCAUCGCGCGGAGAUAUUUGCGCUGGAUGUCUUUCACUUCGUGUACAAAACUCUGCACGCUGCGGCAUCGAAGAAGUUGUCCUGUGUUUGGGUGCACGUAUGCGCUUGGACACGGAUAGCCUGCUUGCUCUCAACGGGUGUUCAACAGUCUACGCGCGCUCGUAACUUGCUCAUGAGGCAAGUUGCUGUUGUGCUGGAGCUGAGAAGAGGUCUGCCGCCUGCAAUGGGUCCAUCUCUCUCAAGUUAUUGCAGUAUUGUAGCUCACAAGGUUCUUAAAAAGGUAUGGUGGAAGCUGUUGCCAAGGUUCCGGCCAGAAAAGACAGC